rnacentral:rRNA from 1 species
CUUUUGAUUAUAAUUUAAGGUCUGGCCUGCCCAAUGAAGAUUUUGAAUGGCCGCGGUAUAUUAACCGUGCAAAGGUAGCAUAAUCAUUAGUUUUUUAAUUGAAAGCUGGUAUGAAAGGUUGGAUGAAAGAAUAAUUGUCUCUAUUUAAAUUAUUUAGAAUUUUAUUUUUAAGUCAAAAAGCUUAAAUUUUAUUUGAAGACGAGAAGACCCUAUAGAGUUUUAUUAAUUUUUAUUUUAAUAUUUUUAGAAUUUAUUUUUUUAUUAUAAAAAUUAAUUUAGUUGGGGUGAUUAGAAAAUUUAAUUAACUUUUUUUUAAAUUUUNACAUUAAUUUAUGAAUUUUUGAU